rnacentral:lncRNA from 1 species
UUCUAUUGUCUUCUUCCCUCCAUUUCUCAUUCACACCAACUUAGCUAGCUUUAAUCAUUAACUAGUUUUAACAGAUAGUGUGUACAAAUAUGAUAGCAUCCGAGGCAGGAGCAGGUGCAGGCGCAUCCACUGCAACUACAUUUUGAAUACCGGACAUGGCCACCAACACGACCAUGAGAACCACCAAGAAAACAUUCAUCUUCAUUGUUUCCAUUGAAAUAAUUUUGAAGAAAUUAAACAAACUUUUGAGAAAAAAGAAAUCACAAACAAAUUAUCGAAAGAAGAAAAGAAUGCAAGAGUUUGAGG